AGAGUUUGAUCCUGGCUCAGAAUCAACGCUGGCGGCGUGCCUCAGACAUGCAAGUCGAACGAUUAAAGCUUUCUUCGGAAAGUGUAUAGAGUGGCGUACGGGAGAGUAACACGUAAGUAAUCUACCCUUAGGUGGGGAAUAACUUAGGGAAACUUAAGCUAAUACCCCAUAAUGCAGCGGCUCCAUAUGGAGACAGUUGUUAAAGCAUUUAUGUGCCUAAGGAGGAGCUUGCGGCAGAUUAGCUAGUUGGUAAGGUAACGGCUUACCAAGGCGACGAUCUGUAGCCGGUCUAAGAGGACGGUCGGUCUCACUGACACUGAAUAACGGGUCAGACUCCUACGGGAGGCAGCAGUCUGGAAUUUUGGGCAAUGGGCGAAAGCCUGACCCAGCAACGCCGCGUGAAGGAUGAAGUCUUUCGGGAUGUAAACUUCGAAAUUAUAGGAAGAAUCAAUGACGGUACUAUAAGUAAGCUCCGGCUAACUACGUGCCAGCAGCCGCGGUAAUACGUAGGGAGCAAGCGUUGUUCGGAUUUACUGGGCGUAAAGGGUGCGUAGGCGGCGCGACAAGUCACUUGUGAAAUCUCCGGGCUUAACUCGGAACGGCCAAGUGAUACUGUUGUGCUAGAGUGCAGGAAGGGCAACUGGAAUUCUUGGUGUAGCGGUGAAAUGCGUAGAUAUCAAGAGGAACACCUGAGGCGAAGGCGAGUUGCUAGACUGACACUGACGCUGAGGCACGAAAGCUAGGGGAGCGAACGGGAUUAGAUACCCCGGUAGUCCUAGCCCUAAACGAUGAAUGCUUGGUGUCUGGAGUUUUAAUUCUCUGGGUGCCGUCGCUAACGCUUUUAGCAUUC
rnacentral:rRNA from 1 species